UUUCGGUAUCCUGUGUUGCUUACCUAUCGAAAGGAAUCCGAUGGUUUCGUUGGUCCCUUUCCGCCCCAUGCCCUCGCGGGUUGUGGGGUGGACGUCAGGCAAGCCUCGUGUUCCCGGCACGCUUCGCCCAGUUGCGUGGCUGCCUCGGCCCACGGGGCGCAUUGCCCGUGCUCUCGGAUGCGGAACGUUACGCGCGGGCGUGGGGUCUUUUGGCUCCGUCGGCCCGAGCAACGCAUUUGUCCAUCGACACGAACGACCGUCGCGUCCGUCUUGAGCCCGCGGCCGUACGGCCCGUCGGGUCUCAUGCGGGCGUCGGCGUCGCGAAGGAAUGCUACCUGGUUGAUCCUGCCAGUAGUCAUAUGCUUGUCUCA
rnacentral:misc_RNA from 1 species